rnacentral:lncRNA from 1 species
UAUUAUUUCAUUUCUGUCCAGCUUUCAAUUCUUGUUCUUCAUUCCUUGUUGUUUGAUUCCAUUUGACAAUAUAUGGACUUCCAUAUGAGCUUUGGUUGGUGCAAAGUCUUGGUGAGUUCUUGAAUUAGAACAUUGAUCCAAUUCUAAGUAAGGUGCCAUUUAUGACCAACUCAAGUUGCUCCUAAGAAUGUCAAAGAAUCAUGUAUUCUUGUUAUUGCAUUCACA